UGGGGAAUAUUGCACAAUGGGCGCAAGCCUGAUGCAGCCAUGCCGCGUGUGUGAAGAAGGCCUUCGGGUUGUAAAGCACUUUCAGCGAGGAGGAAGGUGGUGAGCUUAAUACGCUCAUCAAUUGACGUUACUCGCAGAAGAAGCACCGGCUAACUCCGUGCCAGCAGCCGCGGUAAUACGGAGGGUGCAAGCGUUAAUCGGAAUUACUGGGCGUAAAGCGCACGCAGGCGGUUUGUUAAGUCAGAUGUGAAAUCCCCGGGCUCAACCUGGGAACUGCAUUUGAAACUGGCAAGCUAGAGUCUCGUAGAGGGGGGUAGAAUUCCAGGUGUAGCGGUGAAAUGCGUAGAGAUCUGGAGGAAUACCGGUGGCGAAGGCGGCCCCCUGGACGAAGACUGACGCUCAGGUGCGAAAGCGUGGGGCAGCAAACAGGAUUAGAUACCCUGGUAGUCCAGCGCUGUAAACGAUGUCGAUUUGGAGGUUGUGCCCUUGAGGCGUGGCUUCCGGAGCUAACGCGUUAAAUCGACCGCCUGGGGAGUACGGCCGCAAGGUUAAAACUCAAAUGAAUUGAC
rnacentral:rRNA from 1 species